UACGUAGGUGGCGAGCGUUUGUCCGGAUUUACUGGGCGUAAAGGGCGUGCAGGCGGUUUGUCGCGUCUGCUGUGAAAACUGGAGGCUCAACCUCCAGCCUGCAGUGGGUACGGGCAGACUAGAGUGCGGUAGGGGAGAUUGGAAUUCCUGGUGUAGCGGUAGAAUGCGCAGAUAUCAGGAGGAACACCGAUGGCGAAGGCAGAUCUCUGGGCCGUAACUGACGCUGAAGGAGCGAAAAGCAUGGGGGAGCGAGCAGG
rnacentral:rRNA from 1 species